rnacentral:rRNA from 1 species
UACGGAGGGUGCAAGCGUUAUCCGGAUUCACUGGGUUUAAAGGGUGCGUAGGUGGGUUGAUAAGUCAGUGGUGAAAUCCCCGAGCUUAACUUGGGAACUGCCAUUGAUACUAUUGAUCUUGAAUACCGUGGAGGUCAGCGGAAUAUGUCAUGUAGCGGUGAAAUGCUUAGAUAUGACAUAGAACACCAAAUGCGAAGGCAGCUGGCUACGCGAAUAUUGACACUGAUGCACGAAAGCGUGGGGAUCAAACAGG